rnacentral:lncRNA from 1 species
UGGGAUCUCCUGGAUAUGUUUGUUCGUGCGGAGAAGUAUGCCUGCAUAGAAGAGGCCUUUGUCGAUGAUACUCCUGUCGAUUUAGCGACGGCAAGACAAAGCAAAGAGCGCCAUCUGAGGCGAAUAGAGAAAAGUCACCUGUACUACUGAUCUCUGCCGUCAAAGUGGAAUAAUGGGGGUCGAGAUCGUCAAUCUUAAAGUCCCUUGAGAAGGGUUCGACGACUAUCACCGCCUGUGCAGUAUGAUAGCUACACACCCC